GGCAAGUCUGGUGCCAGCAGCCGCGGUAAUUCCAGCUCCAAUAGCGUAUAUUAAACUUGUUGCAGUUAAAAAGCUCGUAGUUGAAUUUCUGCGUUGCCCGACUCGGCUACUUGCCUUGUCUGGUUUCGCUUUUGGGGUUUUCCCCUUUUUACUUUGAGAAAAUUAGAGUGUUUCAAGCAGACUUGUGUCUUGAAUACUUCAGCAUGGAAUAAUAAAGUAGGACUUUGGUUCUAUUUUGUUGGUUUGUGAACCUUAGUAAUGGUUAAUAGGAACGGUUGGGGGCAUUCGUAUUUAACUGUCAGAGGUGAAAUUCUUAGAUUUGUUAAAGACGAACUACUGCGAAAGCAUUUGCCAAGGACGUUUUCAUUAAUCAAGAACGAAAGUUAGGGGAUCGAAGACGAUCAGAUACCGU
rnacentral:rRNA from 1 species